rnacentral:rRNA from 1 species
AGUGAACGCUGGCGGUAGGCCUAACACAUGCAAGUCGAACGGCAGCACAGUAAGAGCUUGCUCUUACGGGUGGCGAGUGGCGGACGGGUGAGGAAUACAUCGGAAUCUACUUUUUCGUGGGGGAUAACGUAGGGAAACUUACGCUAAUACCGCAUACGACCUACGGGUGAAAGCAGGGGAUCUUCGGACCUUGCGCGAUUGAAUGAGCCGAUGUCGGAUUAGCUAGUUGGCGGGGUAAAGCCCCACCAAGGCGACGAUCCGUAGCUGGUCUGAGAGGAUGAUCAGCCACACUGGAACUGAGACACGGUCCAGACUCCUACGGGAGGCAGCAGUGGGGAAUAUUGGACAAUGGGCGCAAGCCUGAUCCAGCCAUACCGCGUGGGUGAAGAAGGCCUUCGGGUUGUAAAGCCCUUUUGUUGGGAAAGAAAAGCAGCAGGUUAAUACCCCGCUGUUCUGACGGUACCCAAAGAAUAAGCACCGGCUAACUUCGCG